GCCCCACAUUGGCACUUCAAUGCCAAUGAACAUGGCUACCUUGCACAGGGGACUGCCUGGAUUGGUGUAGUUGAUGAUGGAGGCAGUGUGGUCACCACAUACAAUGUUACUGCUGGUCAGGUGAUCUUCUUUCCUAAAAAUAUCCUGCACUGGGUAAAGAAUGUGGGAACUGAGGACUGCCUUUUCCUGCUCUUCUUCACCACUCAUGAUGAGCUUCAGACCCUGGAUGUUGAUGAUGUGUUUUUCUCUACCCCAGAGGACAUUGCAGCCAGGUCCCUCAAGCCUGAAGGUGGAGUUAAUUUCAUUAGAACGUUCCAGAAACAAGAAGAGGAUCAGGCUGUCAAUCUCCCUCCCAAUUUGGUUGAG